rnacentral:tRNA from 3 species
GCUAGUGUGGCGCAAUGGCAGCGCAAUUGAUUUGUAAUCAAUGGGUUGCAGGUUCAACUCCUGUCACUAGCUCCA